UACGUAGGGAGCAAGCGUUGUCCGGAUUUACUGGGUGUAAAGGGUGCGUAGGCGGGCUUGCAAGUCAGCUGUGAAAUCUGUGGGCUCAACCCAUAAAUUGCAGUUGAAACUGUAGGUCUUGAGUGAAGUAGAGGCAGGCGGAAUUCCCAGUGUAGCGGUGAAAUGCGUAGAGAUUGGGAGGAACACCAGUGGCGAAGGCGGCCUGCUGGGCUUUAACUGACGCUGAGGCACGAAAGCAUGGGUAGCAAAC
rnacentral:rRNA from 1 species